rnacentral:rRNA from 1 species
GCUUAUACUCGACCGUCAGCGGCACGAGCGCUCGAACUUCCCGUUCGGGCGUACCAAGCUCUGACGAGUAGGAGGGUCGCGGCGGUGAGCGCAGAAGGGCUGGCCGCGAGGCCGUCUGGAGCCGCCGUCGGUGCAGAUCUUGGUGGUAGUAGCAAAUACUCCAGCGAGGCCCUGGAGGACUGACGUGGAGAAGGGUUUCGUGUGAACAGCCGUUGCACACGAGUCAGUCGAUCCUAAGCCCUAGGCGAAAGCCGAUGUCGAUGCGGUGUACGUGUAUAAUAUAAUAUAGACGAUAAUAAUAGAGUAGCGGGCGAUAAUAAAAUAUCGCUCGCGAAAAAUAUUAUCGACGAUAUAUAUGUAUAUAAAAACGAACACACUCGUCGGGCGAAAGGGAAUCCGGUUCCUAUUCCGGAACCUGGCAGCGGAACCGUUAAUAAGUCGGGC